rnacentral:rRNA from 1 species
UACGUAGGGGGCAAGCGUUGUCCGGAUUUACUGGGCGUAAAGAGCGUGUAGGCGGCCAAGCAGGUCCGUUGUGAAAACUGGAGGCUUAACCUCCAGACGUCGAUGGAAACCGUAUGGCUAGAGUCCGGAAGAGGAGAGUGGAAUUCCUGGUGUAGCGGUGAAAUGCGCAGAUAUCAGGAAGAACACCCGUGGCGAAGGCGACUCUCUGGGACGGUACUGACGCUGAGACGCGAAAGCGUGGGGAGCGAACAGG